rnacentral:rRNA from 1 species
UGCCCUAGUAACGGCGAGUGAAGCGGCAACAGCUCAAAUUUGAAAUCUGGCUCUCUUUGGGGGUCCGAGUUGUAAUUUGCAGAGGAUGCUUUGGCAUUGGCGGCGGUCUAAGUUCCUUGGAACAGGACAUCGCAGAGGGUGAGAAUCCCGUACGUGGGCGCCUGCCUUUGCCGUGUAAAGCUCCUUCGACGAGUCGAGUUGUUUGGGAAUGCAGCUCUAAAUGGGAGGUAAAUUUCUUCUAAAGCUAAAUACCGGCCAGAGACCGAUAGCGCACAAGUAGAGUGAUCGAAAGAUGAAAAGUACUUUGGAAAGAGAGUCAAAAAGCACGUGAAAUUGUUGAAAGGGAAGCGCUUGCAGCCAGACUUGCCCGCAGUUGCUCACCUAGGCUUUGGCCUGGGGCACUCUUCUGCGGGCAGGCCAGCAUCAGUUUGGGCGGUUGGAUAAAGGCCUCUGUCACGUAUCUUCCUUCGGGAUGACCUUAUAGGGGAGGCGUAAUGCAACCAGCCCGGACUGAGGUCCGCGCAUCUGCUAGGAUGCUGGCGUAAUGGCUGUAAGCGGCCCGUCUUGAAACACGGACCAAGGAGUCUAACAUCUAUGCGAGUGUUUGGGUGUCAAGCCCGGGCGCGCAAUGAAAGUGAACGGAGGUGGGAACCCUUUGGGUGCACCAUCGACCGAUCCUGAUGUCUUCGGAUGGAUUUGAGUAAGAGCAUAGCUGUUGGGACCCGAAAGAUGGUGAACUAUGCUUGAAUAGGGUGAAGCCAGAGGAAACUCUGGUGGAGGCUCGCAGCGGUUCUGACGUGCAAAUCGAUCGUCAAAUUUGGGCAUAGGGGCGAAAGACUAAUCG